rnacentral:rRNA from 1 species
GACGAACGCUGGCGGCGUGCUUAACACAUGCAAGUCGAACGGAGUGGCGAACGGGUGAGUAACACGUGGGUGAUCUGCCUUGCACUUCGGGAUAAGCUUGGGAAACUGGGUCUAAUACCGGAUAGUGCAAGAUGAGGUCGCGGCCUAUCAGCUUGUUGGUGGGGUAAUGGCCUACCAAGGCGUCGACGGGUAGCCGGCCUGAGAGGGGGUACGGCCACAUUGGGCCUGAGGUACGCACCAGAGUGCAACGGGAGGCAGCAGUCGGGAACAUGGCACAAUGGGCGGAAGUGUGAUGCAGCGACGCCGCGUGGGGGAUGAAGGCUUUCGGGUUGUAAACUCCUUUAGACAGGGACGCGGUACCUGUAUAAGAAGCACCGGCUAACUACGUGCCAGCAGCCGCGGUAAUAC